rnacentral:rRNA from 1 species
AUUGAACGCUGGCGGCAGGCCUAACACAUGCAAGUCGAGCGAGCGGCGGACGGGGGAGUAAUGUAUGGGGACUGCCCGAUAGAGCGGGAUAACUACUGGAAACGGUGGCUAAUACCGCAUACUAUCGGAUAACCCAUAUGGGAUUAGCUAGUAGGUGGGGUAAAGGCUCACCUAGGCGACGAUCUCUAGCUGGUCUGAGAGGAUGAUCGGCCACACUGGGACUGAGACACGGCCCAGACUCCUACGGAGGCAGCAGUGGGGAAUAUUGCACAAUGGACGAAAGCCUGAUCCAGCAACGCCGCGUGUAUGAAGAAGGUCUUCGGGUUGUAAAGUACUGUCAGCAGGGAGGCGUUAUCCACAGAAGAAGCAACGGCUAACUCCGUGCCAGCAGCCGCGGUAAUAC